rnacentral:rRNA from 1 species
CCCUUAGAUGUUCUGGGCCGCACGCGCGCUACACUGUUCGACGCAGCGAGUCUUAACCUUGACCGAAAGGUUUGGGUAAUCUUCAGCAAAGUCGAACGUGAUGGGGAUCGAUCAUUGCAAUUAUUGAUCGUGAACGAGGAAUUCCUAGUAAGUGCAAGUCAUCAGCUUGCGCUGAUUACGUCCCUGCCCUUUGUACACACCGCCCGUCGCUACUACCGAUUGAAUGGUUUAGUGAGAUCUCUGGAUUGACGCGGGCUAGGGGGCGACCCUUGGCCAGACUGUUGAGAAACUGCUCAAACUUGAUCAUUUAGAGGAAGUAAAAGUCGUAACA